rnacentral:rRNA from 1 species
CGGCAACGGAUAUCUCGGCUCUCGCAUCGAUGAAGAACGUAGCAAAAUGCGAUACUUGGUGUGAAUUGCAGAAUCCCGUGAAUCAUCGAGUCUUUGAACGCAAGUUGCGCCAGAAGCCUUUAGGCCAAGGGCACGUCUGCCUGGGCGUCAUG